AGAGUUUGAUCAUGGCUCAGGAUAAACGCCGACAGAUUGCUUAACACAUGCAAGUCUAUGAGGAAGUUUAGCUUGCUAAAUGGACUCAUGGCGGACGGGUGAGUAACGCGUAAAGAACUUGCCCUUUAGACUGGGAUAACAGAGGGAAACUUCUGAUAAUACUGGAUAAGUUAGUAUAUCGCAUGAUAUGCAAAUGAAAGCUACGGCACUAAAGGAGAGCUUUGCGUCCUAUUAGCUAGUUGGUAAGGUAAGAGCUUACCAAGGCGAUGAUAGAUAGCCGGCCUGAGAGGGUGGACGGCCACAAGGGGACUGAGAUACGGCCCUU
rnacentral:rRNA from 1 species